GAUGAACGCUGGCGGCGUGCCUAAUACAUGCAAGUCGAGCGAACAGAUGAGGAGCUUGCUCCUCUGACGUUAGCGGCGGACGGGUGAGUAACACGUGGAUAACCUACCUAUAAGACUGGGAUAACUUCGGGAAACCGGAGCUAAUACCGGAUAAUCUCUUGAACCGCAUGGUUCGAUAGUGAAUGACGGUUUUGCUGUCACUUAUAGAUGGAUCCGCGCCGCAUUAGCUAGUUGGUAAGGUAACGGCUUACCAAGGCAACGAUGCGUGGCCGACCGGAGAGAGUGAUCGGCCACACUGGAACUGAGACACGGUCCAGACUCCUACGGGAGGCAGCAGUAGGGAAUCUGCCGCAAUGGGCGAAAGCCUGACGGAGCAACGCCGCGUGAGUGAUGAAGGUCUUCGGAUCGUAAAACUCUGUUAUUAGGGAAGAACAAAUGUGUAAGUAACUAUGCACGUCUUGACGGUACCUAAUCAGAAAGCCACGGCUAACUACGUG
rnacentral:rRNA from 1 species